rnacentral:rRNA from 2 species
UACGGAAGGUGCAAGCGUUAAUCGGAAUCACUGGGCGUAAAGCGCGUGUAGGCGGCUAUUUAAGUCUGAUGUGAAAUCCCACGGCUCAACCGUGGAAUUGCACUUGAUACUGCAUUGCUUGAGUUCGGGAGAGGGUAGUGGAAUUCCAGGUGUAGGAGUGAAAUCCGUAGAGAUCUGGAGGAACACCGGUGGCGAAGGCGACUACCUGGACCGAUACUGACACUGAGGAGCGAAAGCGUGGGGAGCAAAC